rnacentral:SRP_RNA from 1 species
UGGCUGUAGUGGUCAUUUCGGUAGAAGGCUCUCAAAAUUCUCCUUCUGCUGCUCCAUGUCCGUUCAGAUCCCCCUAAUGUCGCCCAGCGCGAAUGCCGCAGUGACCACCCACUCGCACGGGUAACCUGCGAUCGCUUGGUGUGGUCCUAAGCAAUGAAGAUGAUUCUUGAGGGAGGUCUCACUCUGCAGAGGCAUCUUCACUGUCGCAUGGCGCGCUGGAUUACGAUCGUUAGGGGCUUGGAGUAGUGGGCUGAGAUGGAGGUGUCAACUCCUUUU